UGAAUACGAGACGCUAAGGCGUCGAAGUAGUGUAUGUCAUACUUCCAAGAAAAGCUUGCACUGUCAUAGAUAAAAAACGCCUGUACCAUAACCGACACAGGUGGGUAGGUAGAGUAUACUAAGGGGCGCGAGAUAACUCUCUCUAAGGAACUCGGCAAAAUAACUCCGUAACUUCGGGAGAAGGAGUGCCUUAUUCGUAAGGUUGCAAUAACAAGAUCCAAGCAACUGUUUAUCAAAAACACAGGUCUCCGCUAAGUCGUAAGACGAUGUAUGGGGGCUGACGCCUGCCCAGUGCCAGAAGGUUAAAGAAGUUGGUUAGCAAUAGCGAAGCUGAUAACUGAAGCCCUGGUGAACGGCGGCCGUAACUAUAACGGUCCUAAGGUAGCGAAAUUCCUUGUCGGGUAAGUUCCGACCCGCACGAAAGGUGUAAUGAUUUGGAUACUGUCUCGGAGAGGGGCUCGGUGAAAUAGACUUGUCUGUGAAGAUGCGGACUACCUGCACCAGGACAGAAAGACCCUAUGAAGCUUUACUGUAACUUGAAAUUGAAAUUGGACUUUAUUCGCGCAGUAUAGGUGGGAGGCGUUGAUUAUAAUCUUGUGGGAUUAUUGGAGCCAUCAGUGAGAUGCCACUCUUGUAAUGUUAGAUUUCUAACUUUGAAUCAUUAUCUGGUCAAAGAGCAGUUUCAGGCGGGCAGUUUGACUGGGGCGGUCGCCUCCUAAACGGUAACGGAGGCGUACAAAGGUUUCCUCUGAACGGUUAGAAAUCGUAUCUAGAGUGUAAAGGCAUAAGGAAGCUUGACUGUGAGACCUACAAGUCGAGCAGGGACGAAAGUCGGUCUUAGUGAUCUGACGGUACUGAGUGGAAAGGCCGUCACUCAACGGAUAAAAGUUACUCUAAGGAUAACAGGCUGAUCUCCCCCAAGAGUUCACAUCGACGGGGAGGUUUGGCACCUCGAUGUCGGCUCAUCGCAUCCUGGGGCGGUAGUACGUCCCAAGGGUUGGGCUGUUCGCCCAUGAAAGCGGUACGCGAGCUGGGUUCAGAACGUCGUGAGACAGUUCGGUCCAUAUCCGGUGUAGGCGUUAGAAUAUUGAGAGGAGCCUUCUUUAGUACGAGAGGACCGAGAAGGACAUACCUCUGGUGUACCAGUUAUCGUGCCAACGGUAAACGCUGGGUAGCUAUGUAUGGAGUGGAUAACCGCUGAAAGCAUCUAAGUGGGAAGCCCACCUCAAGAUAAG
rnacentral:rRNA from 1 species